CCUACGGGUGGCAGCAGUGAGGAAUAUUGGUCAAUGGGCGAGAGCCUGAACCAGCCAAGUCGCGUGAAGGAUGACGGCCCUACGGGUUGUAAACUUCUUUUGUCAGGGAGCAAGUGAGUCCACGUGUGGGCUUAGCGAGCGUACCUGUAGAAAAAGCAUCGGCUAACUCCGUGCCAGCAGACGCGGUAAUACGGAGGAUGUUAGCGUUAUCCGGAUUUAUUGGGUUAAAAGGGUGCGUAGGCGGAAUAUCAUGUCAGCGGUAAAAAGUCGGGGCUAAACCGCGUAGUGCCGUGGAUACUGAUGUUCUUGAGUGGGCGAGAAGUAUGUGGAAUGCGAGGUGUAGCGGUGAAAUGCAUAGAUA
rnacentral:rRNA from 1 species